AAUGCUAUACAUUGGUGCAACAAAGGU
rnacentral:sRNA from 1 species